CCAAGACUCCUCAGUUCAACUCAGAAUGAGGCUCCCUGCUCAGCUCUUCUGGCUGCUAAUGCUCUGGAUCCCUGGAUCCCGUGGAGACGUUGUGAUGACACAGACUCCACUCUCCUUGUCUGUUGCUCCUGGAGAGUCGGCCUCCAUCUCCUGCAGGUCUAGUCAGAGCCUCUUACAUAGUGAUGGAAACACCUACUUGUAUUGGUACCAACAGAAACCAGGCCAGUCUCCACGGUUCCUGAUCUAUGGGGUCCCAGACAGGUUCAGUGGCAGUGGGUCAGGGACAGAUUUCACACUCAAAAUCAGCAGAGUAGAGCCUGAGGACUCUGGAAUAUAUUUCUGUCUUCAAAGGACACAUUAUCCUCCCACAGUGGUACAGCCCUUAACAAAAACUCCCCUGCUUGGUGUGGCCCAGCUGCCCUCCUGUGUGGCUUGUCUGGGGAGCAGCACAGCAGGUUCUCUGAGCCUGUGCAGGAGGCAGAGUUUCUAUGACUCAGUGGAGCAUGUUACAGAGGCGGCAUCUGCUCCAGCAUCUUUUUUACUCCACUCUGGGCCCACCAUAAAGUGA